UACAGAGGUCUCAAGCGUUGUUCGGAUUCAUUGGGCGUAAAGGGUUCGUAGGUGGCUCGCUAAGUCAGACGUGAAAUCCCUCGGCUUAACCGGGGAACUGCGCUUGAUACUGGAUGGCUGGAGUUUGGGAGAGGGAUGCGGAAUUCCAGGUGUAGCGGUGAAAUGCGUAGAUAUCAGGAGGAACACCAAUGGCGAAGGCAGCUCGCUGGAACGGUACUGACGCUGAGGCGCGAAAGCGUGGGGAGCAAACAGG
rnacentral:rRNA from 1 species